ensembl:miRNA
UACAGCAUUUUUGACUGCAUGCAUCCAGGUUGAGGUAGUAGGUUGUAUAGUUUAGAAUUACACCACGGGAGAUAACUGUACAACCUCCUAGCUUUCCUUGGGUCUUGCACAAAACGGCAUGGUGAGAGAGCCUAAUUCCUCAA